rnacentral:rRNA from 1 species
GCCGCGGUAAUACGUAUGUCCCGAGCGUUAUCCGGAUUAUUGGGCGUAAAGCGAGCGCAGACGGUUUAUUAAGUCUGAUGUGAAAGCCCGGAGCUCAACUCCGGAAUGGCAUUGGAAACUGGUUAACUUGAGUGCAGUAGAGGUAAGUGGAACUCCAUGUGUAGCGGUGGAAUGCGUAGAUAUAUGGAAGAACACCAGUGGCGAAGGCGGCUUACUGGACUGCAACUGACGUUGAGGCUCGAAAGUGUGGGUAGCAAACAGGAUUAGAUACCCUGGUAGUCCACACCGUAAACGAUGAACACUAGGUGUUAGGAGGUUUCCGCCUCUUAGUGCCGAAGCUAACGCAUUAAGUGUUCCGCCUGGGGAGUACGACCGCAAGGUUGAAACUCAAAGGAAUUGACGGGGACCCGCACAAGCGGUGGAGCAUGUGGUUUAAUUCGAAGCAACGCGAAGAACCUUACCAGGUCUUGACAUCCUUUGAAGCUUUUAGAGAUAGAAGUGUUCUCUUCGGAGACAAAGUGACAGGUGGUGCAUGGUCGUCGUCAGCUCGUGUCGUGAGAUGUUGGGUUAAGUCCCGCAACGAGCGCAACCCUUAUUGUUAGUUGCCAGCAUUCAGAUGGGCACUCUAGCGAGACUGCCGGUGACAAACCGGAGGAAGGCGGGGACGACGUCAGAUCAUCAUGCCCCUUAUGACCUGGGCUACACACGUGCUACAAUGGCGUAUACAACGAGUUGCCAACCCGCGAGGGUGAGCUAAUCUCUUAAAGUACGUCUCAGUUCGGAUUGUAGUCUGCAACUCGACUACAUGAAGUCGGAAUCGCUAGUAAUCGCGGAUCAGCACGCCGCGGUGAAUACGUUCCCGGGUCUUGUACACACCGCCCGUCACACCAUGGGAGUUUGUAAUGCCCAAAGCCGGUGGCCUAACCUUUUAGGAAGGAGCCGUCUAAGCAGACAAGAGGGA